GAUGAACGCUGGCGGCGUGCCUAAUACAUGCAAGUCGAGCGAACGGACGAGAAGCUUGCUUCUCUGAUGUUAGCGGCGGACGGGUGAGUAACACGUGGAUAACCUACCUAUAAGACUGGGAUAACUUCGGGAAACCGUAGCUAAUACCGGAUAAUAUUUUGAACCGCAUGGUUCAAAAGUGAAAGACGGUCUUGCUGUCACUUAUAGAUGGAUCCGCGCUGCAUUAGCUAGUUGGUAAGGCAACGGCUUACCAAGGCAACGAUGCAUAGCCGACCUGAGAGGGUGAUCGGCCACACUGGAACUGAGACACGGUCCAGACUCCUACGGGAGGCAGCAGUAGGGAAUCUUCCGCAAUGGGCGAAAGCCUGACGGAGCAACGCCGCGUGAGUGAUGAGGGUCUUCGGAUCGUAAAACUCUGUUAUUAGGGAAGAACAUAUGUGUAAGUAACUGUGCACAUCUUGACGGUACCUAAUCAGAAAGCCACGGCUAACUACGUG
rnacentral:rRNA from 1 species